AGGGCAGUUGUGUAAAUUCUAGUCAUCACGGUAACUGGCUGAUUUCACUGUUGUACUGAGGGAUAGAAAAGAGACUUGGCCCGAUAUCAAUUCAGCGUCUCAAGCCUUCGUCAACUAUUUCGAUACAGUUCGAAGUUAUAGUCUGGAUCUAGAAUCCGAUAACGCAGAGAUAUUGCAUACGUUACUCGUUGUCGAGAGAGAAGAGUCGAAUCAUUUCGAAAGUAUUCGAAGAUAAUGACGAAGCUCAUUGCGGGGAGGGCAGAGUCGAAUCUAAUCUGGUAGCCAUCGCCGGAAACCCAAUACAGUCCGCUUCAGGUUCAUUCUCUUUCUAAUUAUUAGAAUUGCGCCACUGAUCGCCCGCCCUUAUCGUCCCAUUCCUCAUCAACGGUUUACCUGUGGAAUACUAAACUGCUGCGUGCGUAUAUGUUCGAAUUGGCAGUAGGUAGACUGAACUGAUGAGGAAUGUUUCAGCCGAAUAAGAAGAUUGCAUUGUCGAUGAUGUUGGACUCUGCUGCAGAUAUCAUGCUAUAUGCACCUUGUGGGAUCUUAUUGAUAAUGCUUCAGUCUAUCCCAUAUUGUAGAACAUUAAGCAAUUACUCUAAAGGUCAAGUGAAAGGUAUAUAUAUACUCCCUUGGAAAUCAAAAAUGGUUACACUUACAUGGAUCUGUUAUUAGACUAUGCUCCUUCACUUUGGGUGCAUAUGCAUAUUCCCAACUAUCUGAAUUUGAGGACCCCAUAACUAAUCAUUCGAUUAACUUGCUUCCCUAAGGAAAAAGGUUAGGUAGUGAAAAAAGGUAUAGAUUAUAUAUAGGUACCCAACUAUCUGAAUGUGAGGACCCCAUAACUAAUCCUUCAGUUAACUUGCUUCCCUAAGGAAAUAGGUUAGGUAGUGAAAAAGGGUAUAGAUUAUAGGUACCAGCAGUGCUCCAAGAGAGUUUCAGCACCUGCAAAUGAAUAAUGAAUUUGAUCUUCUCUCUCAACACUGGUGCCGGCUUGGCUCUCUACAUCGUCUCAUCAUCAUUCCCUUCAUCGGUAACCUUCUUCAUU